GGAAAUCAAUUGACAUAUUUCAAUAAUGAAAAUAAUUUUAAAUCAAAAUUACCCACCGAAUCUAUCCAAAUAUAGAAAAAUAUGGGUACGUGUUUAUCUCUUUCCAACUUCACGUUCUCUCCUCACAUUUCCUUCUCCUAUGUUUACGUCGUUCUCUCUCUCGAGUCUUGCCUGUCUUGCCGGAUAUACGUGAAGUUAAUGGUUCUUGUUCCGUCUAGAUUGGGGAAAAUUGCAGAAUCAUUUUUGUUUGUUGUGUGACUAGGGGUUCAGAAAUCGAUCUAGCCUUCAUCUCGUCUAGCCGAAUAUAAGCAAUGUAUUAGGUCUUUGUUCCGUUGAUCACACGAGAUUUUGGUUGAGGAAAAUAACAUUUUUAACUCUCACUGUAAUUGAUUUCUUGUUUCUUAUGCGAGUGGUGGUCCAGAAAUCAAUUCAGUUAUUUUAUUGAAUUAGUUGGUUGUUUUUAAUCUCACAUUCUGGAGAUUUCCAAGUUCCGACAUCGGUCUGUAAUAUAGAGGUUUUUGGAAUACUUUGGAUAGACUCGGGCAUCAGAGCACUCCAGAUGUUCGUCUAAAUGUUGAAAUCAAGAGAAAUAAUUUCAGUGUCAUCCAAAUGCAGAGAUCAUUGAAUUUAAGAGAGACGGAAGUGGUCCUUAACAUUAGAUAUUUCGAUUUUGUGUCAUUUUCUUUCCCUUUUUAUUUCCAUAUAGCCUGUUGUUAUUAGAAGAGGUUAUAGUUUUUAAAUUCUAUAAAUUUUGUCUUCGAUUAUCAGUUGCACCAUUUAUAGUAUAUGAAUCGUUUGGGAUAAUAUUUGACAUUUGAAGAAAUAUGGAAUGCAAGUUUCUGCAUUUCUGUUACUAGGUUGUAUGUUCCUUUUUGGCGUGUCCAUGGCUACCGAUGUUUACGAGGUUCAUUUCAUCAAGCAGACAAACUAGUUCAAGUAGCGUGUCCAUGGAACAGUUUCACGAACUCCUAAAGAGGAAGUCUGAAAUAAAAUUAAACUCCUUGAUGGCAUCGGUUCAUUUCCUGUCAGCAUUAUUACACCCAUUAGGGCUCUGCAGAUUUCGGUUAUGCUGGUGAAACAUUUCUCAGCUUUAAAACCUUGGCACUCACGGGAAAUAGAGACUAAUCAGUUCCAUGGUUGGAGUUCAGUCUAUGCCAUCUUUUGUAUGUUGAUUUUUCCAACUGCCAUCUGCAAUAAACUC
rnacentral:lncRNA from 1 species